rnacentral:rRNA from 1 species
CCUACGGGAGGCAGCAGCGAGGAAUAUUGCGCAAUGGAGGGAACUCUGACGCAGUAACGCCGCGUGUGGGAAGAAGGCCUUCGGGUUGUAAACCACUUUUUGUAUAGACGAGCGAGGACGGUAUAUAUAGAAUAAGUCUCGGCUAACUACGUGCCAGCAGCCGCGGUAAGACGUAGGAGGCGAGCGUUAUCCGGAAUCACUGGGCGUAAAGCGCAUGUAGGCGGUUGUGCAAGUCGUGUGUAAAAGCCCCCGGCUCAACUGGGGGAGGUCAUGCGAGACUGCGCGACUGGAGGGCAGGAGAGGCACGUGGAACUCCCGGUGUAGCGGUGGAAUGCGUAGAGAUCGGGAAGAACAUCAGUGGCGAAGGCGACGUGCUGGGCUGCACCUGACGCUGAGAUGCGAAAGUGUGGGGAGCAAACGGGAUUAGAUACCCGAGUAGUC